rnacentral:sRNA from 1 species
AUGUUUCUAUUCCCUACAGAGCAGUGUGGAUGUGACAAUAAUGCCCGGAGAGUUUGACCCUUCCAACUACACUUUGCCUCAACAACCUUUCCAUCCAUGCAUGUUACCUCAAUCUUCACGUUACAACACACUCCACUCUACCACAAACCCUUGUAACAUAACAGUCGGGGGAUCAGGAUAAUGGGCACAUCUGGUCAAGCCAUAGAUGACAUACUGCGUUACAGUGAAAUCAAUAGCCCACUGGAAGCUCUGGAAAAAACUUUGAAAUGGGGUCAUAUGGCGCCAACAGCACCUGACACAUUGGGGUGUUAUCCAUUUGUCAAUGAUGAUCCCUUUAUGAUCACGGACGAUUGUCCACAUAUAUAUUUUACUGGGAAUCAAGAAUCUUACAGCAGCAAAAUUUAUG